GCCGGGCAUGGUGGCGCAUGCCUGUAGUCCCAGCUACUUGGGAGGCUGAGGCAGGAGAAUCACUUGAACCCAGGAGGCUGAGGUUGCAGUGAGCCGAGAUUGUGCCACUGCACUCCAGUCUGGGCGACAGAGUGAGACUCCGUCUCAA
rnacentral:SRP_RNA from 1 species